rnacentral:rRNA from 1 species
GACGAACGCUGGCGGCGUGCUUAACACAUGCAAGUCGAACGAUGAAGCUGGAGCUUGCUACGGUGGAUUAGUGGCGAACGGGUGAGUAACACGUGAGAAAUCUGACCUUGACUCUGGGAUAACUGCGGGAAACUGUAGCUAAUACCGGAUAUUUUCCUUGGUGGGCACCCACUGGGGAAGAAAGAAUUUCGGUCAAGGCUGAUCUCGCGGUCUAUCAGCUAGUUGGUGAGGUAAUGGCUCACCAAGGCGACGACGGGUAGCCGGCCUGAGAAGUUGAGCGGCAGCACUGGGGCUGGGACACGGCACAGUGUGCUAGGGGAGGCAGCAGUGGGGAAUAUUGCACAAUGGGCGCAAGCCUGAUGCAGCAGCGCCGCGUGAGGGAUGAAGGCCUUCGGGUUGUAAACCUCUUUUAGCAGGGAAGAAGCGAUGGUGACGUUACCUGCAGAGAAAGCACCGGCUAACUACGUGCCAGCCGCCGCCGUAA